rnacentral:misc_RNA from 1 species
AAGUCGUAACAAGGUUUCCGUAGGUGAACCUGCGGAAGGAUCAUUAACGAAUAAUAUUCGUCAGAUGGACGUAAAAACUCCAUUUAACCCCUGUGAAACGUUAACUGUAAUUCCCUGUAGCGCUUGUCGGUUUUUUUCUCUGGCUGCGAUCGUAGCCAGAGGUCUUGACCGGCGCGAGACAGGGCUAUAAUAAUACUUUUCUAUGAUUGUGUUUGUCUUAUAAAAUAAAAAAAAAAUAAAAAAACAAAAACAACUUUCAACAACGGAUCUCUUGGCUCCCA